rnacentral:tRNA from 6 species
GGGGCCGUAGCUCAGCUGGGAGAGCGCUUGCAUGGCAUGCAAGAGGUCGUCGGUUCGAUCCCGAUCGGCUCCA